rnacentral:rRNA from 1 species
CAGGCCUAACACAUGCAAGUCGAGCGGACCAUUCCUUCGGGGAUGGUUAGCGGCGGACGGGUGAGUAACACGUAGGCAACCUGCCUGUAAGAUCGGGAUAACUACCGGAAACGGUAGCUAAGACCGGAUAGCUGGUUUCUCCGCAUGGGGGAAUCAUGAAACACGGGGCAACCUGUGGCUUACGGAUGGGCCUGCGGCGCAUUAGCUAGUUGGUGGGGUAACGGCCCACCAAGGCGACGAUGCGUAGCCGACCUGAGAGGGUGAUCGGCCACACUGGGACUGAGACACGGCCCAGACUCCUACGGGAGGCAGCAGUAGGGAAUCUUCCGCAAUGGGCGCAAGCCUGACGGAGCAACGCCGCGUGAGUGAUGAAGGUUUUCGGAUCGUAAAGCUCUGCUGCCAAGGAAGAACGCCUCGGAGAGUAACUGCUCUGAGGGUGACGGUACUUGAGAAGAAAGCCCCGGCUAACUACGUGCCAGCAGCCGCGGUAAUACGUAGGGGGCAAGCGUUGUCCGGAAUUAUUGGGCGUAAAGCGCGCGCAGGCGGUCUUUUAAGUUUGGUGUUUAAGCCCGGGGCUCAACCCCGGUUCGCACUGAAAACUGGGAGACUUGAGUGCAGGAGAGGAAAGCGGAAUUCCACGUGUAGCGGUGAAAUGCGUAGAGAUGUGGAGGAACACCAGUGGCGAAGGCGGCUUUCUGGACUGUAACUGACGCUGAGGCGCGAAAGCGUGGGGAGCAAACAGGAUUAGAU